GGAUCCAGACUUUGAUUCUGGCUCAGGACGAACGCUGGCGGCGUGCUUAACACAUGCAAGUGGAACGAGAGGAGAAGGAAGCUUGCUUCUUUCAAAUCUAGUGGCAAACGGGUGAGUAACACGUAAACAACCUGCCUUCAGGAUGGGGACAACAGACGGAAACGACUGCUAAUACCGAAUACGUUCCUUAGGUCGCAUGACUUUAGGAAGAAAGGGUGGCCUCUACUUGUAAGCUAUCGCCUGAAGAGGGGUUUGCGUCUGAUUAGGUAGUUGGUGAGGUAACGGCCCACCAAGCCGACGAUCAGUAGCCGGUCUGAGAGGAUGAACGGCCACACUGGAACUGAGACACGGUCCAGACUCCUACGGGAGGCAGCAGUGGGGAAUCUUCCGCAAUGGGCGAAAGCCUGACGGAGCAACGCCGCGUGAGUGAUGAC
rnacentral:rRNA from 1 species